rnacentral:rRNA from 1 species
CAAGUUUGAAACUCAAAGGAAUUGACGGGGGCCCGCACAAGCGGUGGAUUAUGUGGUUUAAUUCGAUGAUACGCGAGGAACCUUACCAAGGCUUAAAUGGGAAAUGACAGGUUUAGAAAUAGACUUUUCUUCGGACAUUUUUCAAGGUGCUGCAUGGUUGUCGUCAGCUCGUGCCGUGAGGUGUUAGGUUAAGUCCUGCAACGAGCGCAACCCCUGUCACUAGUUGCCAUCAUUCAGUUGGGGACUCUAGUGAGACUGCCUACGCAAGUAGAGAGGAAGGUGGGGAUGACGUCAAAUCAUCACGGCCCUUACGCCUUGGGCCACACACGUGAUACAAUGGCCAGUACAGAGGGCAGCUACCAGGCGACUGGAUGCAAAUCUCGAAAGCUGGUCUCAGUUCGGAUUGGAGUCUGCAACUCGACUCCAUGAAGUCGGAAUCGCUAGUAAUCGCGCAUCAGCCAUGGCGCGGGGAAUACGUUCCCGGGCCUUGUACACACCGCCCGUCAAGCCAUGGAAGUCUG